AUGAGACCAGUGAUAGAAUAUGGAAGUGUAGUGUUUAGAUCAGUGUCGAAAACAUCAAUAAAGAAACUAGAAGCUAUUCAAAAUCAAGCACUGAGAAUCUGCUGUGGGGCUAUAAGGACCUCUCCAGCUUGUGCAGUUCAAGUGGAGAUGGGUGAGUUACCUCUAAAUUUACGAUUUAAGCAGUUGAUUAUGAAUUAUUGGGCAAACCUAAAAGGGCACAAUGAAAGAAGGCACCCAACAGUAAAGUAUCUAAACCCAUGUUGGGAAAGUACAAAGGGAAAGGUGGAAUGUUUUGCUUGGACAUCGGGAAAAAUAGCAAUUGAAAUGGAGUUACAGGACAGAAAGUUCAGUCCUACUGUCCCUUAUCCAAUCACACCACCUUGGCUGUUUCCACCACUAAUUAUUGAUCUCCAUUUUCAAGAGGAAAUAAAAAGACAUAAAGGGAAGGGCAACUGGGCAGAGAUAGUGGAUGACAGACUAAGGUCAGUAUAUAAAUCUUUUUUAGCAGUAUUCACAGAUGGAUCAAAGGAUCCUAAGAGUGGUCUUACUGGUUUUGCAUUCACUAUUCCAGAGUUGAAGAUAAGUAUUAAAGAAAGAACUUCUGAUCAUCUAACAGUGUUUACAGUUGAGUUGUUAGCUAUUUUAACGGCAUUGCAGUGGAUAGAACAAAAUAAAAUUGGCAAGGUUGUUAUAUGUUUAGAUAGUUUAUCUUCAUUGAUGUCUCUACAGUCUCUAUCAUCUAAUAACAGACUUGAUAUUGUAUAUGAAAUUUAUGAAAUUAUGUUCAGACUUAAAUAUAUAAAAACAGAAAUCAUAAUUAUGUGGAUUCCAGCUCAUAGGGGGAUUGAGGGGAAUGAAGCUGCAGAUGCGUUGGCUAAGCAAGCUCUGAAUCACGAUAGAAUUAUGGAAGUAGCAUUUAGUAAAGCUGAAAGUAAAGCAAAAAUAAGGAAUAAUAUUAUGAAGGAAUGGCAGAAACAAUGGGAUGAAGGGAAGAAGGGACGUCAUUUAUAUAAUAUUAAACAAGUGGUAGGAAGAAUGAAAUCAAUAGGUAGACAUACAAGAGAACAUAUAAUUAUUUCAAGGUUGCGAUUGGGGCAUACUGGGUUGAAUAAAACAAUGCAUUUAUUGAAAAAACAUCCAUCAGGUAUGUGUGAGUGUGGAAUGGAAGAAGAAACCGCAGAACAUGUGAUUAGCCAAUGUGUCAAAUAUGAAAAUCAAAGGAUAAAAUUAAGAGAUGAAUUAAAGAAAUAUGGAGUGAAUACGUUAAAUCUUAAAAACCUAUUUAAAGUUGGAGAUCAGAUAUAUAAAGCUUUGUGUAUUUAUUUGAAAGAAACUGGUCUAAUUAAAAGAAUUUAA
rnacentral:lncRNA from 1 species